rnacentral:lncRNA from 1 species
GUACGGAAGAGUCUAUUAGCAUUUGGCAAGUGAGGAAAUUAAAACUCAGAGAGCUUAGGUAACUUAUCCAAGGUCACUCAGCAGAUAAUUGGGAGAAACAGUCUGGCUGCUUUUAGAUCAGUCACUCCCCAUUCUCCCCUCUCCGGCCCUGGCUUCUUGUUUUAAGAACACUCUCCAGGUGAUUUUGAUGCACAGCUGGACGUGAAACGUAAUGAACUUUGGCAAUAUUUUAUAAACUGUGGGUCAUGAUGUAUUUGUAUGUAAUGAAGUCAAUUUGGUGGUCUGCAAAAACCAUAUAAAAAUUAAGCAAUAUAAUAAAAUGGAAACUAUCAGAGUGCAUCACAUGUACUAAAGGUAAAUAUUUUUCAUGAAGCUCUUGCUACAGUUUUAUAUGUAUACUGGAUCUGGAUGAAAAUGGAUUUCUUGCUGUGCUUAUGGGUUCAAAAGCAUUUGAACACUAGUCUCGGGGUUAUGAAUUAGCAGUAGAGGCCAAAGAGCAGGCUCUACUUUUCUCUUGGAGGAGAGCCCUGUAUUAUUGGAAGCAACUACCUAACCAAUUUCUGGUUGGAGAACCUUUGAAGAGAGUGGCUGUUGGGGCCCAGAAUGGAGAUGCUGUUUGUGAACAGAACUGGACUAAGUGGAGAAAGAAGUGUCGUGGGAUUAGAAUAUCUGCAAGAAAAGAAGCUCUUUCAACUCAGAGUCUGCUAUUUGACUGAAAUAGAGAACUCCCCUUGGAUGGCAAAAAGCUGAAGGAAGAUGUUGGUACGAAUAAUCUAGGAAGAGUGAUUUGAAGCUGUUUUUCAUUUUUUUAAGGACAAAAUAAGAAAAAAAAUGGUUUUGUUUGUAAACACCGUGGCAUUUGGUAAAAAGUCUUUAAAACUGAAGCCUAUUUUACUGUAGCUUUGUGGAGGACUGAGGUACUAGGGUGGGGAUAGAGUGUUAAUUUGAGAAGAAUCUCAAAACUGAACCCCCUUUUAUUGCUCCACACACAAGACUCUAAAAAUUCUAAUUACCUUCUGCUUGGAAAAAACAAUCUUCAAAAAGCAAAAUAUGAUCCUUAGAAAAGAUCCACAUUCUGUUAAUCGUUUUAAAUCAGGGUCAAAGUGAUUUCCUUUAGGAGAACUACAUUACUCCUUUUGAAAUACAUUUUUAUUUCCUUCUCCUUUAUUAAAUACUGUAUUUUCAAUACAAAAGGAAGUCAAUGAACAGGAAUCUCUAAUAUUAUAUUUCUGCCAUACACACCAGGCAUUCUAUCUUCCUAUUUCAGCCUAAAAUGUAUAAGAUAGAUAUUAUUUUAAAAACAUGCUUAUUUUUCCCUUUUUUACAACCAUGUUGAAUUUAUGGAGCUUUUAUUUUAUGUAUAUGCUUUAUUUGGCAAUAUGCCCCCAAAUAUUUCAUUUUUAUAAGUGAAGAAAUUCAGUUUCUCAAGAUAGAGGUUCCAUAUAGUCAAAUAAAAAGUCUAGAGGUCCUAUAAAAUCUUCACAGAUGCUCUAGUUCUGUACAUUCUGUGUUUGGCCACUCAGCCAGAAUAAAUAUUUAAAAGAUUUUUCUUGCAAAUGGAACACUGGAUUUUAAUGUGGCAGAUUUUUACGUAACUCUCUAUAUUGACAUAUUGUUAACUAUAUAUUAGUAAAUAUAUAUCAGAUGCACACUUAUUCUCUAAUCAUCUGAUGUAUUUUGUUUGUUUCCCUCCAAAGAUGAUAGGCCCCUGGGGUCAAAAGGCCAUGUCUUAUGCCUCUGUCUCUUAGAGAACCUGAUUCAGUGCUGAAUAGUAGACAUUGAGUAAAUAUAGGAUUACAAUCCCUCUACUCAACUCCUAAUUCUGCUCCUCACUACUGUUCAGGUUCCUUGACUAUAAAAUGGGAAUGCAUUUCCAUUGCAUACGGUUGAUGAGACAAUAUAUGUAAAAGGACCUCAUGAACUGUAAAGCUCUACACAAAUAUUUGUCUGACCCAAAAAGGGUGAGUAGCACUCAGCUAGAUGAAAGCUUUCGAGAAGAGAAGGAGACUCUGGGCAACACAUAAAAGAGUGUCCAACCUUAGCUCUCAAGGCCCUAGUGUUUCCUGGCCAGU